rnacentral:tmRNA from 1 species
GGGGAUGACAUGGCUUCGACGAGGAGUUGGAUCUCAAGGACGCAUGCCGAGGAUAAAGACAACUCGUAAAAUAUGCUUUAAAAAAGAUAGUUGCAAACGAAAACAACUACGCUCUAGCUGCAUAGCUAGCCGUCGCUUAAGAGUUGUCUGUACUUUUAAGAUGACGGUCGCUCACAGACUCGCUAGGAUUAUUUUUUUCACGUAAUUCGGUUAAAACUUGUUGGAAAUCGCUACUUACAUCCCUGAUGGUCGGGUGGUUAGGUGGCUAACUACAAUAGACCAAGCUAAGCAUGUAGACUUCUUGUUUGAAAGUUUUCGGACGCGGGUUCAAUUCCCGCCAUCUCCACCA